CAGGCUUAACACAUGCAAGUCGAGGGGCAGCAUGGUCUUAGCUUGCUAAGACUGAUGGCGACCGGCGCACGGGUGAGUAACACGUAUCCAACCUGCCGUCUACUCUUGGACAGCCUUCUGAAAGGAAGAUUAAUACAAGAUGGCAUCAUGAGUCCGCAUGUUCACAUGAUUAAAGGUAUUCCGGUGGACGAUGGGGAUGCGUUCCAUUAGAUAGUAGGCGGGGUAACGGCCCACCUAGUCUUCGAUGGAUAGGGGUUCUGAGAGGAAGGUCCCCCACAUUGGAACUGAGACACGGUCCAAACUCCUACGGGAGGCAGCAGUGAGGAAUAUUGGUCAAUGGGCGAGAGCCUGAACCAGCCAAGUAGCGUGAAGGAUGACUGCCCUAUGGGUUGUAAACUUCUUUUAUAAAGGAAUAAAGUCGGGUAUGGAUACCCGUUUGCAUGUACUUUAUGAAUAAGGAUCGGCUAACUCCGUGCCAGCAGCCGCGGUAAUACGGAGGAUCCGAGCGUUAUCCGGAUUUAUUGGGUUUAAAGGGAGCGUAGAUGGAUGUUUAAGUCAGUUGUGAAAGUUUGCGGCUCAACCGUAAAAUUGCAGUUGAUACUGGAUAUCUUGAGUGCAGUUGAGGCAGGCGGAAUUCGUGGUGUAGCGGUGAAAUGCUUAGAUAUCACGAAGAACUCCGAUUGCGAAGGCAGCCUGCUAAGCUGCAACUGACAUUGAGGCUCGAAAGUGUGGGUAUCAAACAGGAUUAGAUACCCUGGUAGUCCACGCGGUAAACGAUGAAUACUCGCUGUUUUGCGAUAUACUGCAAGCGGCCAAGCGAAAGCGUUAAGUAUUCCACCUGGGGAGUACGCCGGCAACGGUGAAACUCAAAGGAAUUGACGGGGGCCCGCACAAGCGGAGGAGCAUGUGGUUUAAUUCGAUGAUACGCGAGGAACCUUACCCGGGCUUAAAUUGCAGAUGAAUUACGGUGAAAGCCGUAAGCCGCAAGGCAUCUGUGAAGGUGCUGCAUGGUUGUCGUCAGCUCGUGCCGUGAGGUGUCGGCUUAAGUGCCAUAACGAGCGCAACCCUUGUUGUCAGUUACUAACAGGUUCCGCUGAGGACUCUGACAAGACUGCCAUCGUAAGAUGUGAGGAAGGUGGGGAUGACGUCAAAUCAGCACGGCCCUUACGUCCGGGGCUACACACGUGUUACAAUGGGGGGUACAGAGGGCCGCUACCACGCGAGUGGAUGCCAAUCCCCAAAACCUCUCUCAGUUCGGACUGGAGUCUGCAACCCGACUCCACGAAGCUGGAUUCGCUAGUAAUCGCGCAUCAGCCACGGCGCGGUGAAUACGUUCCCGGGCCUUGUACACACCGCCCGUCAAGCCAUGGGAGCCGGGGGUACCUGAAGUGCGUAACCGCGAGGAGCGCCCUAGGGUAAAACUGGUGACUGGGGCUAAGUCGUA
rnacentral:rRNA from 1 species